rnacentral:rRNA from 1 species
CCUACGGGAGGCAGCAGUGAGGAAUAUUGGUCAAUGGGCGUAAGCCUGAACCAGCCAAGUCGCGUGAGGGAUGAAGGCCCUGCGGGUCGUAAACCUCUUUUGCCGGGGAGCAGAGGUCCGGACGUGUCCGGGCCGGGAGAGUACCCGGAGAAAAAGCAUCGGCUAACUCCGUGCCAGCAGCCGCGGUAAUACGGAGGAUGAGAGCGUGAUCCGGAUUUAUUGGGUUUACAGGGUGCGUAGGCGGGCAUUUAAGCCGGCGGUCAAAUGUCGGGGCUCAACCCCGGCCUGCCGUCGGAACUGGGUGCCUUGAGUGGGCGAGAAGUAUGCGGAAUGCGUGGUGUAGCGGUGAAAUGCAUAGAUAUCACGCAGAACCCCGAUUGCGAAGGCAGCAUACCGGCGCCCUACUGACGCUGAGGCACGAAAGUGCGGGUAUCGAACAGGAUUAGAUACCCCAGUAGUC